GAUGGGGUGGCAUCAGGAAACGGCAAACGGCACGGCUGUGCAUUUCUUUUUAACAGGACGUCCUCCUUGUUUACUUGGAAUGUGUGAGAAGACUUGUGGUUUAAACACUUCACCAUUUAAAGUCUCUCUUUGCAACAAAGGAACUGAAAUAACACCCUAUCACCAUAUAACAUAGCUCAUGGAGAUCAGUGCAAAACCUAAAGAGAAAAAAAUAGAUAAUGCUGGAUUAUGGGGAAAAGGCUUUGCAGGCCAAAAGGAGAAAAAAAUCCAGGACACGAGGAUCCACAAGAAAUCCAACUGCCGUUUUAGGGCUUCUCUCCUGGGCUGCCCCUCGCCUCUCCCUUCGCCUCUGGCAGCGCUUUGAAAGCUGACAUCGCCUUUUUUAUGACGCCAGGGUUGUCUCCACUUCAACGGGAUGAGCGUGAAGCUGAGCUUAAAGCUGUGCAAUAUAGAAACUUCUGCAGAUGCUAUUGGUAAGAGUGGAGGGGAGCCAGCACCAGUGAAGGGCAGCUCAUCUUCCAUCUUCCAGCUGGAAGCUGUUACCAAAUCCAGUGUGUUUGUACGGACAGCGAGAGGAGGCAACGAAGGAUCUAACUCGUUCAGUGACCUUCUGCGCAGAAGAGAAGGUCAGCACUGGUCCCUUUUGAGAGGACCGUGGAUAUUGCGGUCUGUUAGCCUUUUGGUGGACAGACUAGCCAAAAUCAUAAGCAUUGCAUCCAAAAAUGCCCACUGCCUUUUUAGGUGUAUUAGUUACCUUAAAACAAAGAUAUUUAUAAGAAAGUAACAUUCCUAUGAGUUUUCAAGAUGCUCUCUGCAAGGUGCGAAUCUCUGCGAGAUCUGGCAGCUUUUGGUGGUUUUGAUGAAUAUUUAUCAGAAAGUUCAGUCUGAAGAUUUUUUUUCUUUUGCCCUCGUUCUUCCCUAUCUUAAAGUGAACAGUAUCCUUUCAACUAUGGGCCUUGGGAUGGUCUUUUUCUAAAUAGCUGGAAUAUUUCUUUCCUGCUAGGAUGAUGAGAUUAUAAAGGGGUACUGUUGUGUAUUAGGUUUUGAUUUCGCUUAAAAGUCAUGUUAAAUCUCUACACAUGUUAACUUUCUGCAAGGAAAUUUCUUGUGUUUUGAUGAUGACAUCAGUAAAGGAUUAUGGCAAGA